AGCGAAGAGGAUUAGAUACCCUCGUAGUCCAUGCCGUAAACGAUGUGUGUUAGACGUUGGAAAUUUAUUUUCAGUGUCGCAGGGAAACCGAUAAACACACCGCCUGGGGAGUACGACCGCAAGGUUAAAACUCAAAUGAAUUGACGGGGACCCGCACAAGUAGUGGAGCAUGUGGUUUAAUUCGAAGAUACGCGCAGAACCUUACCAACACUUGACAUGUUCGUCGCGACUCUAAGAGAUUAGAGUUUUCGGUUCGGCCGGACGAAACACAGGUGCUGCAUGGCUGUCGUCAGCUCGUGUCGUGAGAUGUUGGGUUAAGUCCCGCAACGAGCGCAACCCUCACUUUUAGUUGCCAUCAUUAAGUUGGGCACUCUGAAAGAACUGCCAGUGAUAAGCUGGAGGAAGGUGGGGAUGACGUCAAGUCCUCAUGGCCCUUACGUGUUGGGCUACACACGUGCUACAAUGGCAUCUACAACAGGAAGCAAAACGGCAACGUUAAGCAAAUCCCGAAAAGAUGCCUCAGUUCGGAUUGCACUCUGCAACUCGAGUGCAUGAAGCUGGAAUUACUAGUAAUCGUGGAUCAGCGUGCCACGGUGAAUGCGUUCCCGGGUCUUGUACACACCGCCCGUCACACCAUGGGAGUUGGUUCUACCUUAAGGCAAGGUUUCAAACCCUUGACCACGGUAUAGUCAGCGACUGGGGUGAAGUCGUAACAAGGUAACCGUA
rnacentral:rRNA from 1 species